rnacentral:lncRNA from 1 species
CUCGGACGUGUGACCGCGCCUAGGGGUGGCAGCGGGCAGUGCGGGGCGGCAAGGCGACCAUGGAGCUUUUGCGGACUAUCACCUACCAGCCAGCCGCCAGCACCAAAAUGUGCGAGCAGGCGCUGGGCAAGGGUUGCGGAGCGGACUCGAAGAAGAAGCGGCCGCCGCAGCCCCCCGAGGAAUCGCAGCCACCUCAGUCCCAGGCGCAAGUGCCACCGGCGGCCCCUCACCACCAUCACCACCAUUCGCACUCGGGGCCAGAGAUCUCGCGGAUUAUCGUCGACCCCACGACGGGGAAGCGCUACUGCCGGGGCAAAGUGCUGGGAAAGGGUGGCUUUGCAAAAUGUUACGAGAUGACAGAUUUGACAAAUAACAAAGUCUACGCCGCAAAAAUUAUUCCUCACAGCAGAGUAGCUAAACCUCAUCAAAGGGAAAAGGUGUGUAUGACUCUUGAGUAAAGUAUUUUCUUUGUGUGCAAGGAUGGCCCUUCCCUGUUAGGAAAAUGUCUGCUGCAUGUGUAAUCACUGGCUUUUCCGAG